rnacentral:rRNA from 1 species
UACGUAGGGGGCGAGCGUUAUCCGGAAUUACUGGGCGUAAAGCGCACGCAGGCGGUUCGUCAAGUUUGGAGUGACAGUUGUCGGCUCAACCGACAAAGGACUUCAAAAACUGGUGAACUUGAGGACGAGAGAGGAACAUGGAACUCCAGGUGUAGUAGUGAAAUGCGUAGAUAUCUGGAAGAACACCAAUGGCGAAGGCAAUGUUCUGGCUCGUUUCUGACGCUCAGGUGCGAAAGCCAGGGGAGCGAACGGG